ACGAACGCUGGCGGCGUGCUUAACACCUGCAAGUCGAACGGAAAGGCCCUUCGGGGUACUCGAGUGGCGAACGGGUGAGUAACACGUGGGUGAUCUGCCCUGCACUUUGGGAUAAGCCUGGGAAACUGGGUCUAAUACCGAAUAUGAUCAUCGGCUUCAUGGUCGGUGGUGGAAAGCUUUUGCGGUGUGGGAUGGGCCCGCGGCCUAUCAGCUUGUUGGUGGGGUAAUGGCCUACCAAGGCGACGACGGGUAGCCGGCCUGAGAGGGUGACCGGCCACACUGGGACUGAGAUACGGCCCAGACUCCUACGGGAGGCAGCAGUGGGGAAUAUUGCACAAUGGGCGCAAGCCUGAUGCAGCGACGCCGCGUGAGGGAUGACGGCCUUCGGGUUGUAAACCUCUUUCAGCACAGACGAAGCGCAAGUGACGGUAUGUGCAGAAGAAGGACCGGCCAACUACGUG
rnacentral:rRNA from 1 species